rnacentral:rRNA from 1 species
UACAGGGGGUGCGAGCGUUAAUCGGAAUUACUGGGCGUAAAGCGUGCGUAGACGGUUAUUUAAGUCGGGUGUGAAAGCCCCGGGCUCAACCUGGGAACUGCAUUGGAAACUAACGGGCUCGAGUGUGGCAGAGGGGGGUGGAAUUCCACGUGUAGCAGUGAAAUGCGUAGAGAUGUGGAGGAACACCGAUGGCGAAGGCAGCCCCCUGGGCUAACACUGACGCUCAGGCACGAAAGCGUGGGGAGCAAACAGG